GAUGAACGCUGGCGGCGUGCUUAACACAUGCAAGUCGAACGGAAAGACCCUGCGUUUGUGGGGUGCUCGAGUGGGGAACGGGUGAGUAACACGUGAGUAACCUGCCCUUGUCUUUGGGGUAACUUCACGAAACUGGGGCUAAUACCGGAUAGGAGCUCCUGCUCCAUGGUGGGGGUUGGAAAGUUUCGGCGGUAGGGGAUGGACUCGCGGGUUACCAGCUUGUUGGUGGGGUAGUGGCUUACCCAGGCUUUGACGGGUAGGCGGCCUGGGAGGGGGGCCGGCCACAUUGGGACUGAGAGACGGCCCAGACGGCUACGGGAGGCAGCGGGGGGAAAUAUUGCACAGUGGGCGGAAGCCUGAUGCAGCAGCGCCGCGUGCGGGAUGCCGGCUUUCGGGGUGUAAACCGCUUUCGCCUGUGACGAAGCGGGAGUGACGGUAAUGGGUAAAGAAGCACCGGCUAACUACGUG
rnacentral:rRNA from 1 species